ACACAGACGGCAGGGAAACAUAGAGAGAAGGGGGAAGCCUGUAGCCCCCUGGCUGGGUCCUUCCAUCUGAGUCUCAAGGGAGGUUCCAGCUUUAGAGCACCAGCUGAACCCAAUCCCAUCAGGAGCCCUCAGAGCUACUGAAAGGACAGAAACCUCAGGGCCGGCAAAGGGGUUACUCCAAAGAGCUUACCUUGAAAGCAUCCUGGGCCAGUCUCCGGGCAUUCAACACAGACUGUAGAGGAGGAGUUUUGUUUUGUUUUUUUUGGUCCGGGGAGCAUUGGGCCCACAUCAGCUGAACUUAAUCCUCUCAGGAGCCCUCAGAACCCAGGGAGGCCAAGACCCCUCCCCACUUAGAGAGCAGGGUCUUUGGAAAGAACAGAAACCUCAGGGGUUGCUCCAAUGGGCAUUCCUUGAAAGCAACCUGGGCCAGUCUCUGGGCAUUCAAAACAGAUUGUGGAGGAUAUUCUGGAAAGCAAGGAACUAGGUCUAAAACCAAGAAUAAAAUACCCAUCAAAACUGACUAUAUUCUUACAGGGGAAAGUAUGGUCAUUCAACACAACAGAAGAGUUCCAAGCAUUCAUAAAUAAAAGACCAGACCUGAACAGAAAAUUUGAUGUCCAACCACAGAACUCAAGAGAAUCGUCAAAAGGUACAACAGAAAAUGAGAAUGGAAGUAGAGAAGACAGUGCCAAAAGGAGCAAGACCACAUGGCAGCAUGAAAUGCCAACUGACAAGAGAGACAAAAAUUAGGAGAUCAAAAACAGGCACCAUCUUUACCAAAAUAGCCAUGAUAACAUGUUUUGUGGAGGCAAAAAAGCUGGAAACAAAGUAUAUUCAAAUAUAGGGGAAAUAGAGGACCAAUAACAUCAUGGAGAGAUGUCUUGGUUUGAGAAUGAAUUGGAUUUAAGUGAGGAAGAGUUGCACAAAGUCAUCAGCCUCACUUCAAGAGUCGCCCAAGUCCGGCGGCAAGGCGAAAAUCAAGAUGACUGGCACUAGCCUGGGAGGCAAUGGAUGACCUUGGCAUCUUCAAUGUCUAACCAAGCUCUAGGCAUUCCACACGACCUGCUUCAGCCACCUUCAUGACUGUUGGAGCAAAUUGUUCUAAUCCACCCAUUCCUUUGGGGAAAGUUCUCACAUGCUCGCGACAGACAUCCUCCUAACUCACCAACAGGUUUGAGGACUAUUGGUUACCAUCAGCCUGGUUUAGCCUAUCAGCUAAGAUAGUUUCAACUGGGGCUGGCCAUUAUGUAUGCUAUAGCUUCUUGGAGCUACAGGCGAGACUUGGGUGAAAGGUAGACACCAAAGAUGGAAGGAGUAGCCCUGAAAAGGGCUUGGCAAGCCCUCCUACCAGAAAUGCCAGUCCUCUCUGAACACGCCAUACCCCAAGACUUUCUAACCCAAUAGGAAACAGAGCUUGGUUUCAGAACCAGGACCUCUGGCUCCAAAUACAGCAGAGGUGGUGGUGGCGGUGGCGGUGGUGGUGUUUUAAAUCCUGUGCCAUACCCUCCCUCAUAGACAUCCUUUAGCUAUGCCAAAUUGGCCAAAGACAUGCAAGGCUAGUUGAAUUUUGAUGAAUUGGCACUUGAAUAUAUAGGCUGUCCCUCGUGGACAAUAAUUCAAUAAACAUAAACUGAAUUCCUUCUGUAUGCCGGAU
ensembl:lncRNA